rnacentral:pre_miRNA from 1 species
CACGUACUCUCUCAGUCCCAAGAUUUUUGUUUUGGAUUUGUCUAAAUACGGAUGCAUCUGAUCAUGUUUUAGUGUUACAUACAUCCAUAUCUAGACCACUGUAAGACAUGAAUUUUGGGACGGAGGUAAUAUAUG